rnacentral:rRNA from 2 species
GCGCCUAACACAUGCAAAGUCGAACGGUUAAAAGCACCUUUUAGGUGUGUAUAAAGUGGCGAACGGCUGAGUAACACGUGGCAACCUGCCCUCCUCUUGGGGAUAGCCUCGGGAAACCGAGGAUAAUACCCGAUACUUCAAUGUGGCCGCAUGACGACAUUGAGAAAGCUUUUGCGGAGAAGGAUGGGCCCGCGGCCUGUUAGCUUGUUGGUGGGGUAGAGGCCUACCAAGGCAAUGAUGGGUAGCUGGGUUGAGAGACCGACCAGCCAGAUUGGGACUGAGACACGGCCCAGACUCCUACGGGAGGCAGCAGUGGGGAAUCUUGCACAAUGGGCGAAAGCCUGAUGCAGCGACGCCGCGUGCGGGACGAAGGCCUUCGGGUUGUAAACCGCUUUCAGCAGGGACGAGGCGAAAGUGACGGUACCUGCAGAAAAG